UUUGUUUUAGUCGUGAAGAAAUAGUUAUUGGAAAAAUGAAAUGUUUACUAGAAAGGUUAAGAGGCUAAAAGAAAAUGAUAAUGGAAAAAUGAAAUGUUUGCUGGAGGAGCAAUUGAGUAAGAGGUUAGCAUUAAAAACUUUUUUUUAUUGACGAAUUUAA